CAAUAGCGUAUAUUAAAGUUGUUGCGGUUAAAAAGCUCGUAGUUGGAUUUCUGCCGAGGACGACCGGUCCGCCCUCUGGGUGUGUAUCUGGUUUGGCCUGGGCAUCUUCUUGGAGAACGUAGCUGCACUUGACUGUGUGGUGCGGUGUCCAGGACUUUUACUUUGAGGAAAUUAGAGUGUUUCAAGCAGGCACACGCCUUGAAUACAUUAGCAUGGAAUAAUAAGAUAGGACCUCGGUUCUAUUUUGUUGGUUUCUAGAGCUGAGGUAAUGAUUAAUAGGGAUAGUUGGGGGCAUUCGUAUUUAACUGUCAGAGGUGAAAUUCUUGGAUUUGUUAAAGGCGGACUACUGCGAAAGCAUUUGCCAAGGAUGUUUUCAUUGA
rnacentral:rRNA from 1 species